CCCUGCGGCACUCAAUAUAUCAUUAAUACCGUAUUUUCCGGCGUAUAAGACGACCCCCAACUUUUCCAGUUAAAAUACAGAGUUUGGGAUAUACUCGCCGUAUAAGACUACCCCUCUUCCAAUGCACACCAAAUAAAAAUUAGCCAUGAUGUACAGUGAGCAGACAGAGCUACACAGCAAGACAUUAAAUAAUAAUGAUAAUAAUUAUCAUUAUUAUUAUUAGCCAAUCAUUACAUUGGCUUCUUCUACCCUUCAAGACCCAAUUCAGACUACUAACAUCUACCUACAAAGCCCUCAAAAAUUCCACUCUUCACUAUAUUUUUUCUUUACUAACAAAUACACACCUUCUUAUUCCCUUUGCUCUGCGAGCGACCAUGAUUUUUUCAUCUGCUUGUUCCUGCAAGUUGUCUUAUCCCUCAGACCCUCCUCCGCUCUGACAUUCUGUUAUACCUCUUCUGUGUUUUUGUCUUUACCCCUUUCUCAAAGACUAUAAGCAAGUUGAAAUAUACUCCCCCCCCCCAUUCUUUUUACACUUUUUUUUUUUUUUACAUUUAGAACUUGCCAAAUAUUUGCAUCAUUAUAUAUAGGCAGCAAAUGUAUUCAAUUCACAAUAACCACAAUUACCAAUCUGUGCCACGGGGUGGCGUAAUUGCUCUUGCAAUCAGACUUCAUAUAUGUUUAUAUGUUUUAUUUCCUGUGUUACUGGGAUAUCAUGCUUUGUGGAAAAAAAGGAAAGGGUGGUUAUUGUUAUGGAACCACAGGUGGCAAUCAGUACCUAAUAUAAUGAAUAAAAAUAAAAAUGGUUUUAUCUUUAUUGCACACAAUGUAACAUAACCUAACAUAAGUGUUUUAAAAUAAAUGAUGAAAAAAAACCUACCACAUUAAUAAUAAAAAAAAAAGGUCUAGAUAUCAGGACCUGUCAUAAAAUAUAAUAUAAAUACCACUAUCAAAGAAAAAAGAAAAUCUGAAAGCAAAAAUAGUAUAGACUAUAGAAUUUUAGUCCUGUCCAGUAGGAUUGCUGGUUGGAGGUCACCCUAGAGUAGUGUUGCCAUGGUCGGGAAAUAUACUUUUUACUCCCCCACCCGCCCGACUGGGAAUGUUAACAAAAAGAGUAGCCGUAAAAUAGCAACAAAAAAUUUUUUUACAAUGCAGCCAGAGAUAAAAAGUUUGGAAAAAGACCAGGAUCAAAAACAUUUAUCAUUUUUCUAGUUUUAACCACUUUCUGCCUAGUAAACAUUCUUACAAGAAAUGGCCAGAUUCCACCAAAAUAGUCACAUAAUGUCCAUAUUCAGUUCUGCUAGUAGAGCAGAUUAUUAUUAGCAUUUAUAUAGGGCCAACAUUUUUCACAGCACAGAUGGCAAUAAACUGGGCAGUCAAAUUGAUUAUCGUUAUAUUAUUAGCUCCAGCAGCAAUCAGUCUGCGAAUUUCUAACCUGACUAAUACUUUAUCAUUUCUCCUGUUUCUUGUCACUGACACACUUUACCAACACAUUUCAUUAUACAAUUGUGUGACCUAGUGUUCGAAUAUGGUCAACAGAAACCGACAGGAUUAGUGAAUGAAUACCAAAGCGUGAGCGUUUGACCUAAGUAGGAAAAAUGCCCCCAACUCCCAAUAUCCAUAUUCAAAACCACCUCACUAUUGUCAAAGAGAUUACAAAAGUAUUCAAGGAUUCAAAUACAUAAAAUGUGUGAGUUGGUCAAGUCUUA